GUUCGGGAAAACUUUUCAUCCAGCAGGACAGCGAGGAUUCUUGGCCCUCCUAUAACAGAAAACGCACAUCUGUGCUCUUGAGUUUCCUUAUGAGGACUUUUACUGGCUUACGCAUCGGAAAAAUGUUGUAGUUGCAAGAUCAAAGAAGAUUAUGCACGCUUGGCAGAGAUUUCACAGGUGGAAAUAAGACCAUCCGCGGCAAAGCUCAUGUCACCGAAAGGGAUUAGUUUUUCAUACAGUAUCACAGCGUUACUAUUCUCGGUCUAUGUCAUUAACCGACGCAAAAGUUCUUAUUAGGCGCCGUGAAGCAAGUGGGCAUUGGCUAGUAUACGUAUAAAAUUGUGAAGGAAUUCUAUAAUGGCUCUGGGUAACCGUUACCAUUGCAUUGCCUGUUGAAGAUGUGGCCGAAGCAUAGCUGAAUGUAGCUGAAAAACUUAGUGCGAAAAUGCCAUUGGCCUAAAACACGCACGAAUAAUUGUGCAAGCAUGGUUUGUUGGCGAGGGGAAUGAAGACAAUACAUUGUUCGAUUUCAUUUGUCGAAGCUUCGUUGGAUGUAAAUUUUUUAGUUGCGCAUAGCACCAUGCUGGAUGGAAAAAUUGGAGAAGUUCGAUAAUGCCAUUGAGUGUUACUGGAAAGCCUGCACUGUGGGUUAUAUUGUAGCAGCGGAAAAUUUAAAUGAUAAACGAAUGCAAUCGCCAUAGUAGCAGACACCUCAUCAGGCAAUAUUAUGUAAAUGGAGUUUAGCGAUCCUGCAAUCGGAUUUGAAAAUGUCCAACAAACGCCGGCAAUCAGUGGUAAAGGCACUUCUAGUCUAAUUUUCAAAUAUUUUACGCUUAACUAACAAAUUUUUAAUAAAUUGUUUUAAUAGUUAUUUCUAUUGUA
rnacentral:lncRNA from 1 species